rnacentral:lncRNA from 1 species
AGAGAUGGACAUCUGUGAACCAGAAAGUUGGAUCUGCAUAAAUAGAGAAAAAUUCAUGUUUAUGGAGAAGACAAUUGAAUAUUGUGAAGAUGUCUUUCACUAAAAUGAUCUACAAAUUCAAAGCCAUAUCUGUCAAAAUCCCAGCUGUCAUUUUUAUAGCUGUACACACUGAUACUUAAAGGCAACAAGUUGACAAAUGGACAUGAAUUUCACCUCUGAGAGUUUCAUAAGCUGGUAUUGUCCUGACAUUGCAAAGUGUUUACCACAAAGAUCCUGUACAUCCAUCAUCCAGGGCCAGCGUUUGCCUGAUUCUAAUUCCACUGACAUUGAAAUCUACAGCUCUCUUUUUAUAGCUCACAGAUGUCUUCCUUAAGGACCCGAGAGCCAUCUUUGAAACAUAAGUAUCAAGUCAGAUAGCACACCUAUCUUUCAGUUUACGUGACAAGUGCCUUGGAAAUACGACCUAUUGAAUGUCUACUUUCAUGAGGAUUAUUGAAUACGUUGGAAAGAACUGAAUAUUAUUGCAAAUCUUAGAUUUGAGUUGUUUGCAAUAAAUGCAAAGACUUGGA